UUUUAAUGAAGUUUUCACCUACCUAUAUUUUCAGAGAUUUUUCGUUAAUUUUUUUUACAAAUUUUUUAGUAAUGUUUUCAUUAAUUUUAGCGAUGUUCUUACUUAUCAAUGUUUACUCAAUGUUUUUUGGACAAUUUCUGAGUAUUUUAUUCAUAAAUUUUUGACGUUAUUCGCCAAUGUUUUACUGGUUUUCCCAAUAAUUUUUGUGAUGUUGGCACCAACUUGUAGCAAGUUUUCAUUUAUUUUCAGCGAUUUUUCGUCAACUUUUUCAUCAAUUUUUAAGCAGAUUUUUAACGGUGCUUUCAUCAAUGCUUAUAGUGAAUAAAGAUGUUUCGACAAUUUCUGAGUAGGCAUUUUUUCUCUCCAAUUUUCAGUAAUUUUGAUUACUUACUUUGCAAUUUUUUGUCAAUCUUUUGUUAUCAUCAGGGAAGGCAUUCGUUUUAGUAUAGUGUUGGCACCAACUUGUGGCAAUGCUUUCAUCAACUUUUAGUGAUUUAGAUAUCUCUAAUUUUUAAUUAAUUUCUUCAUCAGAUUUUUGUGUAAUGUUUUCAUCAGUUUUUAGUAAUAUUUCCUUAAUACAUACCUACUUAUUUUAAUAAAUGUUUUUCAUCAAUUUUUAGUGAUUUUCCGCCAAAAUCAAAUUUAGGUGAUUUUCAGAAAUUUUUAGUGAUUUUUCGAGAAACCGAUUGGCCUCCCAAUACGGCUGCUGCGAGCUUUCGAGUUCAGCAGAUGCAAAUUGUAGAUGAGUAGAAUAAAUUUGCACCUUAGGUUCUGUAGUUGAAUAGUAGAUUCAUCCAUCAUGGAAUUUACCUCUCAUUUUAUCGGUCAUGUUCUUUCAUCUAGGGAGUCGUGUUAUCCGUUCCGGAAGCUAUAGAAGAUCUAUCAGCCAUGAAAAGACUCUGGGUACACGAGGUGAUGCGAAUCUAUCACGAUAAAGUAGUCGACUUACGAGAUUCAAAUUGGUUCAUGAGUAAUUUGAAAUCAGUCAUCGAUGAACAAUUAAAAGAAAACAUGAACGAUUUACUCAGUCAUCUGUUACAAGAAGACGAAUCCGAAGUAUGGUUUAAUUUAUAGUUAAGACUCGUAAAUUUGUGUUUUUUUGCCUCAUACGUACGAAAAGUAAGAUCUAAUUGGGAUCGCCUCAUUCAGGUGAACCAACUAGUGCUGAGGAGAUUGAUAUUUUGCGACUUUAUCAACCCCAAAGCUGACGUUAGGAAUUACGCCGAAGUCCAAGAUAUGGAAGGGUUGCAAUCUAUCGUCGAGGGGUAUCUGGUCGAGCAUAACAAUGUGAAUAAAAAACCGAUGAAUUUGAUUCUGUUUCCGUACGCUAUCGAGCAUAUUUCCAGAAUAUGUCGUAUAUUGAAGCAGCCUCAAGGGCAUGCUUUAUUACUGGGUAAUUGUGGACUAGGCAAGCAGUCUUUGGCUAGGUUGGCUAUUCAUAUGUGCGAAUAUGAGUUUUUUGAGGUUGGUAUUUUGGCUGAUUUACCUAUUGUUUUGUUAGUGAUGUUUUUGAAAUAUUUUGAUUGAGGAGGUUUCAGGUUGAACUUACAUCUCGUUAUAACGAACUGGAUUGGCGUAAAGAUAUGAAGAGUUUGCUCUGUAGUGUUUAUACCGAUCAGCAUUCUGCUUUUUUACUCAAUAAUAUUCAAAUGAUGCCAGAGUCGAUGCUGGAAGAUGUCAAUAACCUGCUUCAAACAGGCGAAAUACCUGAAAUAUUCACAGCAGAAGAUAUGAAAGAAAUUUACGAGAAAAUGGAGAUCAUCGAUAAUCAACGAGAUAAAUCUUUACAAGUAGAAACCGCAAAAGUCGUUUUUUCUCCCUAAUACUUCGAUUCCAAUGAUCUAAACUUACUCGUAUUUCGAAUUCCCUUCCAAAUAGACCGAUGGCAGCCACGAAGCUCUUUAUAAUCUAUUCCAUCAAAGAGUUCGUAAACAAAUCCACAUAGUGUUGGUUUUCAACGCAUCCAUUUACGAGCUGCGAAAAUACAUCCAUCAAUUCCCCUCAUUCAACAACUGUUGCACUAUUGACUGGUUCCAGGUAUGGAUAUUUCUUUGGCUGAUGUGCCCUGCCCCUUUUACCGCAAUACCGUAGGAAAUAUUGAAUUUCAUGGGUUUUCUAGCCUUGGCCUGAAAGCGCGUUGAAAAUCGUAUCGCAGAAAUUACUCAGCGACGUGAAACUAGACACGACGGAUUUCAAAACGAUUACGAAUUUGUGUGAAAAGUUGCACAAUGAUGCGAAACACGUGGCUCAAGAAGCCGAUGAUCGACUGAAUAUCAAAUUGUAUUUUACUCAGAAAUCGUACAUCAAACUUGUGUCUACGUUUAAGCAUUUAGUGACGACGAAACAAAUGUAAGUACUGGGUUAUUCCCUUUUAAUUGGUUAUUUCUGCUCAAUUGACCAGGUUAUUUUUACUCGUUUGGCCAUAAAAGAAAGGAUGACAGAUGGAUGGGAGUUUACUUACUCGUAUUACAUAUCUCUCAUCGCUCUUAAUUAACAGGGAUCGAUCGUCAAUUGAAUUCAGCUUUCAACUGAAAAUUCUCAUGUAAAAGCACGAUUGUGGGGUUUUUGACACCGUCAGGUUAUAAAAGAAGUUUUUAAAAACAAAAAUGAAGCAAAAAAUAAUUUUUUUAAUAUAUGAAGAGUGAUAUUCCAAAACUCGCUUUGUCCAUUUUUAUCAAAGUUGGGUUUUCAGUGGUAAUACCUGGUAGAUGAAGUAUUAACUCACAUUCCUACAUCAUCAACCUACCAAAAUGAGGUGUUAAACUCACCUAAAUAGCCAAUUCACUAAAAAUUAAAAAAAAAUAAUGUUCCAAAACGCGUUUUGUCCAUUUUUAUUGAAAUUUUUUUCAGCAGUAUUUAGUGGAUGAAAUGUAUACCUACACUCCUACAUCAUAAAUCCACCCAAAUAAAGUGCUAAACUCGCCUAAAAAGCCAAUUUACCCGUUUGAAGGGAAACUGUUUUUCCUCUCUCCUGAAAAGUUGUGAAAAUGGACAAAGCGAGUUUUGGAAUAUCACUCUUCAUAUGUACGUACAUACUACGUACCUACCAAUAGUAAAACAAUGAAUCAAAUGAACGACGCAACGCUCAAGAUACGAAUCAAUUUACCCAUCCUUAAGUUAUAUUAUUCCAUCGAUUAUUAAAAUUGGGAUGUGACAACCAAAUUUUAUUUACUUUAGAAUCGGUAAUUCAAAAAAAAAUCCUUACUCGCGAUUGUGGCGUUUUGACACUGUGAAGUAAUUAACAGUGAACGACGUUUUGAAUUAUUCAAUAAAUAAUGUUCUUUAAAAUUGAAAAUGAAUUGAAAAUGUACGAUUUACAUAUCCCCACGUGAACGUGAACACCCAUUCUAGCAUCAUUAUCUCAGUUUUUGAGAACUGAAGGCUGGAGCCACUCGAGCUCAUAUCCCUCCUUCUUUACGUUCGAGUGCGAGUGCUUCGUGAGAUAUCGUUCUGUUGCUAAUGGAAAGAAAUAAAAAUUGAUACAAGAUCGGUUGAUGCUGCUCACAUGUGAGAAAGGUAUCUUAAACCAGGUAAAAUUUCAAAGACUUGGUGAAAUACUUGUAUUGCUUGGUCAUGUUCUAAAAAUAGACGAAAAAUUCGAAAUUCUAAGGAAUAAGGUAACGAAUCAAAAUUAAUAUGUGAGUAUUAAUUUCCUUAAAUUUCAGCCAAUUUUGUACCCAUUUCGGUUUUGAAUUCUUCAUUUUUUUUGUGAACGUGGUUGUCCAUAUUUAGCUUUUUUACAUCUUAUACAUAAAUAUUAGGUAUUAAAUUGGGAUAUGACAACCAAAUUCACUUUUUGAUCUGUAAUUUGAAAAAAAAAUACUUACUUACUUACUCUGUGGGAGCCCCUGUGUAAUGCUAAUAUUAAAAUUUCCUCAAAUUCAAUUUAAUAAAAUCCCCCCCCCCCCAAAAAAGUCCUGACUGGACUGCAUAUUUUUCGACUUUUUGAAAUUUUUAAUAAUGGCUAAGAAAUUGGCAUCAUUAAAAUUAUAACAAAAUAUCGGCGCAGUUCCCCUAAAAUUUGGGCAAAAGCAGUCUGCAAAAUUCAAACAUAUUCCAUUACUUAUUAUCCAUCAUUUAUUAUGGUAAAUAGGAAAACGCAUUACGCAAUUUCAUAUUUUUAUUACAGAUUAAUUGUUCAAACGUUUUUCUUUAUUCGCCUAGUGCAUUGUCUUAUUAUUUUCGUUUCAUGCAGAGUCUGGUUUCUAAUAUCUCUGAAAACGAUCGACAGUCGGUCUUCCUGUAAUUACUUUUUCUUUCUUCGUUUUUUUAGAACCAAAAUAACGUAAAUGUUCGGCAAAAACGAAUAACGAGUUAAUAGUAACGAAUAACUUAUUUUAGGGCUCGUAAUUACAAAAAAAAAAAAAAAAAAAAACUACUUCCUACUAUCGCCGAAAGUGCAGUUUGAUACCCCCCAGGCUGUGUGGUAUUUUGAACUUAGUUUUAUUGUUUUUAACGUUAAAGUUCAGUAUUGCUUAUUAUAUAUUUCUAACACUAAAAGUAUGCAUCUGUUUAUCAGACGUAAAUACAUACGUAAUUAUCCGAAAGAUACACAGGUAUUAAAAUCAGAAAGCUAAAAAAAAAAAAAAAUGAAUAAUCAUUUGCGAGCAGUCGAUAACUCGACAGAAAAGUAAACGGAAAAUUAAGAUUGAGCAUUUUGAAUUUUUAACGACUACCUAUAGUUAUGAUCUGGAUAAUCAGAUUGUGAAGAAAUACUACCUAUUAUGAACGUCUGAUGUUGUAACCGUUAAAAAUCAGAAAUAAAAUUCUUGAUUUUUAUCAAGUAACAUUCUCGUUUUAUUAUUUUAAUUUCAAAGAUUUCGAGAAUUCUUGCUGUUUAAAGCACCAAUGGAUUCCGUCUUUUGUGUAAUAGAUACACGAGCUUCGUGCGUAAUAUGUGAAACAAUUAAACGGACAAAAAACAAAAUAAAAUAUGAAGUAGCUAUAACGAUAUGAAUCAAGUUUUCGACAGGGAUGAUAACUGAAAACAAUAACCAUUAAAGAAUAACUAUCAAUAAUCAAGUAGGUAGAUAUUUUACGAAAAUUUGUAACCAAGAAUGAUUUUUCAAAUAAGUAAGAACCAUAAAUGAUCCAUAACUUGUUUCUCACUUUUCAAUAUAAACAUUACUGAAUUCACUCUGUGGACAAAAAAAACAUGGAUUAGAAUGAUAUUUUUUUCGAAAAAAAGUUAUACCUACUGUCAUAAAAAAAACACUGAAGUGCCUUACCUGGUAGAGCUGUUCGACUGCAUUCUUCGCAAUAGUCCAGGAGAAUUGGGGUUCUAUAAGGAAUUUUGAGGGAGCAAGCUGAAAAUUGGUAUACUGGUCCUUUUUGAUGCCCUGAGUAAGGAUCUGAGGUGUCCGGGUGCGUCCGGUGUGAGCUUCCCCUUUUAUUGUGGAUCUUAGCCCCCCAAUUUCGGUUUUUGAAGAUUAUUUCCUCAAAUAUUGCCCGGAGCUUAAAAAUAGUUUAGUAAUAAAAGAAUCUGCAUGAAAUUUCCUUUCAGAUGAUCUAUCGAUCAUUUUCGUAACCCCAAAAGGGGGGUGGACCUACAGCUAUCCGAAUAACGUGUUCUCUUGAAAAAUGCUAUAAAUGCGAAGGGAGUUGGUUUUUAAACCAAUUUUUGAGUCCGAUGUAAGUAUGAAAACCAUGUUACACCCUUUACGGUGACAUUCUGAGUAACCAUGACCUCCCCUCCCUCCUCUCCCCCACAUUGAGGUGAUGCCCAUGUCGAAUGCGAGUGUUAGGGAAAGGGGUUAAAGAUAUUGAGAUUUCUAUAAGCAUCCAUUGUAAUGUGCACACAUCCCUACUACAUUGUACAGCGUAGUUUUCGAGCGCUUCCCCACAUGUGGACCCCCUGACCCCCUCCAAUUCAAUUUUUACCGUUUUCACCACAAAUACCAUAUUUUUUUGGGAAUUUUUUUCUCUGCAACUUUGAACAACGAAGAAUUUUUUACAUAAUGAACAUGACAGCUACCUCUCGCCCCUAGGACUGGAGGGGAGUGAACUUUUUUGGUAGGUAUACCAAAAGUAUAUGUGAGAAUGGCAUUUUCGUAAUCUUGAAGGUAGUUAUAUGAUUUUUCUCGAUUCUUAUGAAUGAAUGGAAUGCAGAUAUUUGGCAACAGAUGCAAGGAAGUUAGAAGUGAACCAUUCGCGACCCCUAUUGUGUGCAUAUCCAUCCCUUACGAGCGAAAAAAUUGUCUUUAUUCCUUCAUUUGUUUUGUUAAAGGAAAAAUUUCAUCUAUCAAAAAACUUCUAAAAAUACCAUACCUCAAAGAAGAGAUAGAUAAAUUUUAUGACAGAAAUGCAAAAUUGGAUGAAAUUGUACAAGCUGGCGAAAUCAUCACUGUUGCAUUGUAUGGCGGAAAACAGAAUGAAGACUUGAAUGAUUACAGAUUCAAAUGCUUUGCAAAAUCCCUGAAAAAGCAUGCAACUGUUUUGUCAUCAAUUCCUCCAACAAAAGCUGCGCUAGAACAACACAGUAAGCGUGUCUACUUUGAGGUUCAAAACGCAAUAGGUAACUCUUUAGAUCCGACAAAAUUUGGAUGGUAUACUGCAGUAAAUGGGAGAAUGCCUAUUUUGACAACCCUUCCUGCUGCACCUGACGGCAUUCUCCGAAAUAUAUUCUGUUCUUGCUUUUAUAAAUUUUGUCUCUGUGUAUGAGCCUUUCAGCAUUUGUCUCUUAUUGUUAUUGUGUUGUGGUUUGUGGUACUUCUCUAACUCCUCACCUCUAAAAAUAUGUACGUAACAUAAUUAUGUAUUUCAAUUGAAUUUUCAAUUAUCUUCACUUUUAAAAAUGAAAUAAAAUUCAAUACUGAAACAAAAAUAUAAAAAUUAAUGUUGGCUCCAUAUCCUACAAAAGUAGGGUAAAAAAGUAACGAAAAAUAUUUUUUUGGUACCACUUAUUUAUACCUACAAAACAAAGGGUAAAAAAGUAAAAAAAAUAUAUACGUUUUUAGCACCAUCGCCAAUGUAAAAAAGUAAAAAGAAAUAUGAAAGUGAAAAAAUAGGUUUUUGGCACCAUGUAUAAAAGUAAGGGUAAAAAAAUACUUAAAAAAUACGAAAACUGAAAUAAAUUGAUUUUUGGUUUUUGGUUUAUAGUUUUUUGGUACUUUUAUUUGGUUUUUUGAGUUUUUGGUUUCAGUUUUCAGUUUUUUUUCUGCCAAUUAGGUACCUAGUAUUAGUAUUAUUAAUUAUUGUAUUCACUUCUACUAAUCAAUUGAUGCAGAAAAGUCAAAACAUUAUACAUAUUUUGAUGAUACAAAUUUUAAUUUUUUUAUAUUUGGUUUUUGGUUAGUUGGUUUUGACUUUUGAUCAAAUAUUUUUUAUUUUUGAGUUUUGCACACCGCCGACAAUAAGAGACAAAUGCUGAAAUGCUCAUACACAGAGACGAAAUUUAUAAAAAAAAAAUAAAAACAAAAAACGUAAUGUAAAACACACGACAACACAUCCACACACGCACCACACUCGAAAAACUCCAAGUCCAGAAAAAAAAUUCCGCUCCAACCGGCCAUCUGUAACAAAACAGACGCUCGUGAAUUACGCCUUUAUACCUCCCUCCUUGUAACAUUGGUGAUUGUGAACUUGUGAAGAUGUUACCCUAAUCCUUAACUUGUCUGGUCAAGUUACUUGGCAAUCGGUUGAUGUUGAUUGUCCUUGCUACAAAUUAAAAAAUUAUUCAUCAACAGUGUAUUAAAAAAAAAAAAAAUGCCUUACUCUGUUUGAAGGAUCUUGCUCUAAAAUCCGAUGCUGAGAAGUAUUGCUGAGUAACCUGCACGUGUUCUGAAAGUAAUAAAAAUGUGGUUAGUAGACGCCUAGUAGUGUGGCGUGCUAGAAUUUGGGAAAAAGCAGUCUGCAGAAUUCAAACAUAAUAUUCCAUUACAGUUACAAAAGCUUACGCAUCAUUUCUUAUGGUAAAAAUAGGAAAACGCAUUACGCAUACCUAAUGCUACUCAUAUUUAUUACAGACUGUUUUCACACGUUUUUCUUUUUUCGCCUUGCUGUAAACAGUACAUUGUCUCCUUAUUUUCGUUUCAUGCAGAGUGUGGGUUCUAAUACCUUUGAAAACGGUAGCCAGUCUUCCUACAGUUAUUUUUUUCUUUCUUCGUUUUUUUGGAACCGAAAUAACCUAAAUGUUAGGUAAAAACGAAUAAUGACUUGAUAAAUACUUAAUGAAUGACUUAUUUCAGAGCUCGUAAUUACAAAAAAAAAAAACAAAAACAAAAAACUAUUCUUACUAUGUAUGUACAAUCUACUAUAUUGCCGAAAGUGCACUU